rnacentral:rRNA from 1 species
UAGCUCAUUACAACAGCCAUCGUUUAUUAGAAUAUCGUUAUCCUACUUGGAUAACUGUGGCAAUUCUAGAGCUAAUACAUGCAAUAAAGCUCUGCCCGCAAGGAACGAGCGCAUUUAUUAGAAUAAAAACCAAUCGGGUUUCGGCCCGUAAUUUGGUGAAUCUGAAUAACUUUGCCAAUCGCACAGUCCUAGUACUGGCGAUGUAUCUUUCAAGUGUCUGCCUUAUCAACUUUCGAUGGUACGCUAUACGCCUACCAUGGUAGUAACGGGUAACGGAGAAUAAGGGUUCGACUCCGGAGAGGGAGCCUGAGAAACGGCUACCACAUCCAAGGAAGGCAGCAGGCGCGCAAAUUACCCACUUCCAGAACGGAGAGGUAGUGACGAAAAAUAACGAGACAGUCCUCUUCGAGGUCUGUCAUCGGAAUGGGU